GGUCGUACACUUUCAUACACUUCCGUCUGCGCCAUUUUCUGCUGCCAAAUGUUCGGUCCCUGUACCGCGUCUUGGUGAUUCACAAACAAAUCGUCCACUACAGUACUAAAACAUGGGAAGGAAAAAGAAGAAGCAGAUGAAGCCGUGGUGUUGGUAUUGUAAUAGAGAUUUUGAUGAUGAGAAGAUUCUUAUUCAGCACCAGAAGGCCAAACAUUUUAAGUGUCACAUAUGCCAUAAAAAGCUAUACACGGGUCCAGGCCUGGCCAUCCACUGUAUGCAGGUUCACAAAGAAACAAUCGAUGGUGUUCCCAAUGCAAUACCUGGAAGAACAGACAUUGAACUGGAAAUUUAUGGGAUGGAGGGUAUUCCAGAGAAAGAUAUGGAAGAAAGGAGACGGGUGCUCGAGCAGAAAACUCAGGAAAAUCAGAAAAAGAAACAGAACCAAGAUGACUCAGAUGAGGAUGAUGAUGAUGAAGAGGCAGGACCCUCAUUCCAGCAGGCAACAGCACAGCCUCCGGCUGCGUACGCUCCUAUGGCACAGCCUGGAAUGGCACCUGUGCCCACACCAGGAAUGCCACCUGGGAGCUACUCAGGAAUGCCACCAAUGAUGCCUGCAGUCCCUCCCAUGAUGCCAGGGAUGCCCCCAGUCAUGCCAGGAAUGCCACCUGGCAUGAUGCCCAUGGGUGGGAUGAUGCCACCUGGACCAGGAAUGCCUCCGAUGAUGCCAGGCAUGCCACCAGGCAUGCCCCCUCCUAUGGGUCAUCGUCCAGGUAUGAACCACAUGCCACAGGCUCCUGCCUCCACCACGUCAGGCAUGAUCCCAAGAGCAGCCACACCUGCAGCCACAGUGGCUGCUCCACAGCCUGUUGUCACCAAGCCCUUGUUCCCUAGUGCAGGACAGAUGGGGACUCGAGCUCCCAGCACAAGCUCAGCCUCCUCCAGUAUGGACACUUUGUCAGCACCCUCUAAGCCGCUGUCGCAAGCUCAGCAGGGGGUGCCUGGGGCAGCAGUCGGGCUUUCAGCCUCCUCUUCUGCUGCUCCCAAAGCCACAUUCCCAGCCUACAGCCAGCCUGCACCCUCUGCUGCCAACACAGGCAGCACUGUGGCCAAACCUGCGACCCCCAUUACAAGUAAGCCUGCCACCCUCACCACAACCAGUGCAACCAGUAAGUUGAUCCACCCUGAUGAGGAUAUCUCUCUGGAGGAGCUGCGCGCUCAAUUACCACGCUACCAGUGUAAGAUCCCUAGUACAGCGCAGGCGCACAUCAGCACUCCUCCUGUUGGGCCAAUGGGAGGUGUGAUGCCUGCUCAGCAGGGUGCUUCUUCACAGCAGCCAGGAACCAGGCAUCCCAUGCAUGGGCCAUAUGGUACCCCAUCCCAGGCAGUGCCUGGCUAUGUGCCAGGGGCAAUGUCACCUUACGGGCAAGGCCCCCCAAUGGUUCCUCCUUACCAGGGAGCUCCCCCAAGGCCGCCCAUGGCCAUGAGGCCUCCUGUAAUGUCCCAGGGAGGCCGUUAUUGAAGCUCAAACACCAGUCUCCGAUAGGUUUUUAGAAGUGAAGUUUAGUAAAUAUGGUUCGUAAUAAUUUGAAGCGGCUGGAGUAACGUGAACAGUACUGCACCUUUUAUCAAGCGAUGCCAUGGGACCGGCUGAGGUUGAGUCUCACUGGUGCCCUGUUCAGGCUGAGGCAAGUCUCAUAUUUUUCUCUUUAAAUUCUUUCGAGCGGGGGGCCCUCACAGCCUCAUGGCUGUUGGAUUCCAAUGUCCCCAAACUUGUAGCAAGUUUGGUGAUGGCCCCUGUUAUUAUUCACAUUAGAGAAAACCUAUAACUAACCUCUUCUGCUUUUGUUUCCGAAGUUCAGAGGUGGGAACGAGUAACAAGUAAGUUUCAAGUCUUGAUAAUCGAGUCCCGAGUUAAGAUAGAGGAGUCGAAAUGCGUUCCUUCCCAAAUUGAAUCCCAUUUCAAAAUUUAACAUUAAAAAGGAAAUGUGUAGUGUAUUAAAGCCAUGGUAAAGUAUUUAACUGUUAACAACAGAAUAAACAAAAAUGUAUUUUUUAACCACACAUAAAAUGACCUGUAAUGAUGAUUAAAAAGAAAAAAAAAGUGUAAGCAAAUUUUCAUGUGAUUUGGAAUCGACCCUGCAGUGGUAUAUGGCAUUAAAGGCACUUAUUUGUUUGCUUUCGCUUCACAAAAUCUGUAAAAUAACCCUUUGUAAUUUCAUUUUUUCUUUUCACAAACCUAUAAUAUGCAUCUUGCACACUGAAAUAAUACAGUAAUAUUGCUUGGGGAUGUAAAACGCCAGCCCUGGUGGGAUACAGCCUUACAGAUAUUAGUUUUUCCUCUUCUAAUACACCGAUUAUAGUCCAUGAAGGUCUCUGUAAGCCUGAUUAAUUUGUCCAGGUGUGUUUAAAUAUAGAUUAAAUGCAAAACUUUUUACAGCCCUCCAGAACUGGAGUCUGACAAACCUAAAUUAAUAAUAUUCAUCAACACUACUCGGUUGGUGAAUAGCUUAACUUUAAGGUGAAAGUAAUGGUGCUCUCCUUUAGGAAUUGUGGUUAAAAUAUCUUUCCUACUGUCCAACACUGCCAACAUACAAGUGUAGUACACAAAUUAUUUUACUUACCAUUGAGAUUGCUAAAAGCAGAUCCUUCUUACCUGAUAUUGGUCAACUUGAAUGCUCAAGUUUCUUAAGUUAUCAGAUAAAACUGGCACUUAAAUAACCACUAAAACGUAUAUUUCUUAAUUGUUUAUGUAGGUCUAACCAUACUGUUCUUUAUGUAGCCUCUAAGGCCAAAUGAGAUUGGAGGUAAUGCUUGAAUCAAAUUUUUUAGCAACAUUUAUUGUUAACGGUGUAGACUUAAAGUUUGGUAGCAUGUUUCAACCUGCUCAAGUGUACCUUUAUUUAAACACUGGCAUCAUCCCUCCAAGCCCAAGUUAUUGGUGUUAGUCAAGUUGUAGCUUUAAAUUAUUUUUAGGUUGAGUCUUUAGACAUUUUAAUUUGUGACUCCAAGCCAUUUGUCUUGAGUCCACUCUUCUGCUACCCAGUUCUCUAGGUGCUAGUGACUAGCAGAUGUAAUGUACUAAUUUUUCUAACUUUCAUAGAGUCCGCAAACAUAUUUUUUUUAACUCGGUAUUCAGGUAUGUGGUGCCUGUAUUGGAGCAGGUAGGUAUAUUUACAUUUACAAAAACCCAAGCUAAUUUCUAAGCUUAGGUACGAUGCAGCCAAUAAAGUGUUUUCUAAAAUGGCACUAAAGGAAUACUCACUUAUACAGUAUGCACUAGCAAUUUCUUUAAGAUAAUACAUGACGUUUGCAGUGCUGUUUGUUGGUCUUGCUCUUCCUGUUUGUUUUGCAUCAGAUCUGAUCACAUUACCUGUUGUAGGUAAGUGUCAUUGUCACCGGUUAGUCUUUUAAAUGGCAUAUAUAUACACACACCCCUAUAUAUAUAUAUAUAUA